AAAAGCAAAAGCAAAAGCAAAAGCAUCAGCAACCCUUAUCCUUGAUCGCAAUGCCACUCCUUUGUCCGAGUCUUCGAUCCAUCCAAGUCUCCUCCAACUGAGCUGUGAUCUCACCCGUGAUCCACCACCGGAGGAUCAUCGCCGGUGAGCCUUUUACUGAUUUUCAGUUGUCUUUCCUGAUCUUUUGGAUGGUAUGAUUUUUUUCUUAUGGUUGUUGUGUUAUGCUAUGGAUGAUGAGUUUGAGAAAGCCAUCUCUGGUUCUAUUUCUUGUUGAUUCCUGACUUCUUUCUUCUAGUUUUGGAAUGUUAGCAUGUAAUAAACUAUGAGUUUUGGAAAUGAAAUUACAUGGUGCUUUUAGUGGAGUGUUGUGGUUUCUUGUUGGUUUUCCAUGGUGAUGAAUUUGGGAAGGCAUUAUUGAGUUUUUUCUUUGCUGUGAUUUUUUGAGAAUGAAAUCAAACUGUUAUUUUAAUGAAGUAUCUAGUGGUUUACAGUCUAUUAAUUUUUGCUUUGGUUGUCUUUUCUAUUCUUAAUUUUUUCUGGAUCGAUGAGAACCUUUUGGCUGGUGAUUCCAAAUCGACGGCAGUUGAUCUAUUCCCUAUUCAUGCUCUGAAGAUUGCAUCUAUUGAUACAAGAAGUCUUCCAAGCUGGUUUCUCCUUCUCUGACGCUUUCUCCUUCAUCAAGGCCUCUGAAUUCUACACCCCUUGGUACAAUUCAGAUUCCCAGCCUUCUUUCUCUUAUUUAGCCCCUCGGAAUUGGAAUGUGAUUCUUGUGAGGCAAUAGUAGAAGGGAAAUCUGUUGCUAAAGCAUAUCUAAUCCUAGAUUAUUUGAUGGUCAAGGUUCUUGUGCUCUUUAUUUAAGUGUCACUAGAUGGAUGUAAGCUUAUUGGGCUAUUCUUAGAGCACAUGAAUUUCGAAUGUGAGUUGUUGGAACCUAUAACAUCGUUGGAUGUAUUUGUUUGAAAGGUUUUUGCAUCAUUUAAAGAAAAAGGUGAAAAAUCAAGCAUGUGUGGAAGGAUUUAUAUGCUAGGCACAUAUCACACAAGAAAUCUCAUCAUUUUGUUUGUUGUAUUUUGAAUCUACUGUGGAAACAAGAUUAAAUCAUGUACCUCUCAAUGACGAUGGUGGAGAUGUAGAAUCUGUAGGAUGACUUUCAAUUUUCUCUCAUCUUGGUCGACGUUUUGGGCCAAUGAAUAAUGCUAUAUUUCUAGAAGAUGUAGAACAUUAUGCUGUAGAGCUAUAUGUACUUAUGAAUUGCGAGGAGAUAUAUCUAUAUAUGGAGUAAGUAUUAUUUUGUAACUAGUAUUUAUGGUGCAAAAUACAAAUUUAAACUUAAUCAAUAUCACUAACUUUAUUUUCUUAAAUAUAGGCUGUUCGAUAAAAUGACAAAAAAGAAUGUGUGAAUAUAUCUUACAAGGAACUAGAGAAAUUAUGAGAUACAAGAUUUCUCAAAAUGGUGACCAAACAUAAAGAUGAAAUUGAUUCUCGUGUUGUCAAAAUGUCAUAUGGUCCUGGACGAAUUGCUCAAUGUUACAAAGAUUAUUUUAUAAAUGGUUUCAAGUUCCACACGCAAGACUAUAGGAAUAACCGCAAUACAAAAAAUAAUGGAGUUUGCGUGAAAGGGAGUUCUUACAAUGAUCAUGAGAAAGAAUUUUAUGGUGUCUUGAAGGAUAUUAUCCAAUUAGAGUAUUUUGGAGUUGGAAAGAAAGUUAUACUUUUAAAUGUCAUUGGUUUGACAUGGAAAAAUGGGUUAUUGAUCCUCAUCAUGGUCUUGUUGAAAUUAAACAUAAAUCAGCACUUCUUAGCAAUGAACCCUUUGUUUUAGCUGAUCAAGGUCACCAAGUUUGUUAUAUUUCUUAUCCCUCUAGUAAGAGAGAUUGCCGUGAUUGGUGGGUCAUUUUUAAAACAAAGGCAAGGAG